AAGAAUUCAGGUUUCUCUUGAAAACUAUUACCCAUUCGGGCAUUGGCCAGGAAACUUACUGCGCAAGAAACAUCAUCCAAGGCCGAGAAGAAACUGCAACCCGAGAAGAUGAACUUGCGGAGAUGGAUGGCAUCAUCUUUGACGCACUGGACAAGCUUUUCGCACGGGCUACCUCAAUUUCUCGGUCGCAAAUCGACAUUCUUGUCGUCAAUGUGUCGAUGUUCUCCCCUGCACCGUCCCUAUCUUCACGUAUAGUGAAUCGUUACAAGAUGAGGGACGACAUCAAGAGCUUCAACCUCUCGGGAAUGGGCUGCAGUGCGAGCCUCAUUGCCAUUGACGUUGUACAAAACUUGUUCAAGUCACACAAGAAUGCGAAUGCCAUCGUUGUAAGCACAGAAUCGUUGGCUCCUCAUUGGUAUUGCGGCGUAGAAAAAUCCAUGAUGCUCACAAACUGUCUCUUCCGCUCGGGAGGGUGCGCGAUGCUGCUCACGAACAAGCGAAGCCUAAAGCACCAAGCCAAACUGAAAUUAAAUCAUUUGGUACGAAUGCACACCGGCUCAAACGACGAAGCAUAUAACUGUUGCAUACAGACAGAAGAUGAGAGUGGAAAUCGAGGUUUCCGCCUUACCAAAUACCUAGUAAAAGCAGCAACUAAGGGUUUUACAAAGAACCUCCAAGUUCUAGCACCAAAAAUACUUCCACUAAGAGAAAUACUUAGGUAUCUGGUGGCCUCUAGGCUUAACAAUAUUAGAACUAGUAUUACAAGCCAAAAGCCAAAAGCAGAUGGGAGACUAGGGUUGAAUCUCAAGACAGGAAUAGAGCACUUCUGUAUUCACCCUGGUGGAAGAGCAAUCAUAGAUGGGAUUGGGAAGAGCUUAGGGCUAAGUGAUUUUGACGUUGAGCCGUCAAGAAUGGCUCUUCACCGGUUCGGAAACACAUCGGGGGCCGGAUUUUGGUACGCUUUGGGAUACAUGGAGGCAAAGAAGAGGCUUAAGAAGGGGAACAGGAUUCUGAUGAGUGGAUUUGGAGCUGGUUUUAAGUGCAACAAUAUUGUGUGGGAAGUGAUGAAGGACUUGGAUGAUGUCAAUGUGUGGAAAGACUGCAUAGAUAGUUACCCUAGGGAUCUAAACAAAGUCAAUCCGUUCAUGGAGAAGUAUGGCUGGAUACAUGAUGAUUAUAUAGGCUUUGUUAGGUUUGACAUGUCCCUAUUAGUUAUUGAGUAAUGCUACACUUACAACAUUUUUCAUAUUACAUUUGGAUCAUUUUCUCUAAUAGAAGUAGGACCCAUCAACUUAUGUGGGUCUCAUCUCUAUUAGAAAAAUGGUACAAAUGUGGUAUGAAAAAUGCGAUAAGAAUAGCAUUUUUAUUAGCUGUUUGAUUUUUCAGCACUUAAUAAGUUUGCGUUUUUCUUUUACCUUGUGGAGAAGUGUGGUUGUUUGAAGUUUGUAUGAAGUUUUUCAAGCCCUGUAGUCAGGAUGUAUCUCAUAAAUAAACCCUGAUCGAUUAGGUGUUCCAGGUUUUUUUUUAUAAAAAUAAGAGUUCAUUAAUUUUCUAGAUGUGAGGCCAUGAUCUAUAUCAGUAUUUCCUUUGCUAGCAAACUCUCUUUUUGAUAUAUUUGUAUUCCCUUUGCUAGUACUACAUUUACCACAAAGAAGUACAUUACUCUCAUAGUUAGAGAGAACCGUCACUGGAAACACCACUUCAUGUCCGACUUGCAUGUGUUAAGCAUGCUGCCAGCGUUCAUUGACGUGGCGGUAUACACCUAGCUCCACAGCAAAGCAAGUCAUUAACUACUGGUUUCUUUCCUCCAGAAUAUCACUUGUAAUAAAAAUAAGAAAACACUACAUAUUUCAACCUCAGCAGCAGCACACCUCGUAUUUCCUUCACUUUAACAAGUGAUAUUUGGCUUGUAUGACCUGUGGAGAUUACCCUAAAUUUUCAAGGACAAGACAACUGUUUGGUUCUAGGGCAUCAAGGGUAACAGCUAAAGAAAAUACAAGCUGAACUUUUACAAUUUAAACACUGAGAUUUAGGUGCACCAACAGAGGUGCGCCCUUCAAAAAUAGGCGUUUAAGCGAUGAGCACACAAUAUUAUUUAGUAAAAGUUGAAAGAAUUGUUCGCUUUGUGCUCAAUGUAUGGUUCCGUAAGUUUCCCGCAGCCUACAAUAUUUUAUGGGGUGUGAUAUCCACACACCUGACCUCAUUUUACUUCUCAUAUACCCUUUUAAUUUUCGGCCGUCAAAUCGAAUGAAUUAAAGAAAAUCAACGGACAGAAAUUAACAAGAGGUGUGUGAGAAGUAAUUUGGGAUAUGUGGAUAGCACACCCCUUUUUUAUAUGAGCUCGAAGGUAGAUAGUUCUUUGCUCCUGUGGCGGGUGUGGGACAAAUAGUUUGGCGUCCACUUCUUUGCUAACUCCCAACUUUUUUGCUCAAAUCCCACAGAACCUCUGGUCUAUUUUUUGCUAUUGCCACCAAAAUUCUUUGCCCGUUGAAAGAUCAUAUCCAGUCCAAAACUCUGAGCAUGCAAGUUCCUUUGUUGAUUCUUAAUAUGAAAUCAGGCCUUGAUUGCGAACCAAAGUGGAAAUUAGUUGACAAGAAUUCUGUUGAAGACUUAUAGGGCACGUUUGUUUGACAGGAUUAGCAAGGCUUGGACUGGACUAGACUAUAGUCCUGUGUUUGGUGUGCAACCGGAUUAGCUUUAAUGGGCUUAGGUGGGACUCGCUCGGAUUACACGCCUCCUUACGAGUUCUUAACGAAGAACCCCAAUUUUGGGCGGACUCGUAAGCUCGGAGAGAAAACCGCGAGGAUCCCUAACGUCCUGCUCGUCCUCAUCUCUGCGAGGAUCCCCAACGUCCCUCGUCCUGCUCGUCGCUCGUCGUCGACCUUGCCCUGCUUCCUCGUCGUCGUCCUCCUCACCCUCAUCUCUGCGUCUUCUCGCCCUCAUCUGGUCGGAGACAGUCUGGUAAGCUUCAAAUCUUCGAUUGAUUUCGUCGAAUUGAGAUUAGAAUUUGGGGUUUUCAUAUUUUUAGUUCAAAUUGAGAUUAGAAUUUGGGGUUUUCGUAUUUCAACUUUUCUGGUAAACUUCAAAAUCAAUUUUUAGGUCAAAUUGAGAUUAGAAUCUGUUUAUACCAUAUUUAAGGCCUCGUAUAUUUGGGCCUUGGGCCUUGUAUUUGGGCCUCACACUAAAGCCCAUACUUUGUAAAAGAGGAGGAGCCCCUUAUUCUAUAAAAGGGGACUCCUACCCUCAUUCUGAGGGAGGCAAAAGAGCCAAGCCUAAGAAGGCUAAGAGAAGCUAUCAUUACAUUCAGGAGAGACCUCACACCACCGAGGCUCUCCUCUCCCUUCUCUUCUUUCUCCGGGGACUUCCCCCAAACACUUGUAUCCAUACACUUACAGAGAAACAGAAUCAACUAUCAGUGUGGACGUAGCCCAAACCUUGGGGUGAACCACGAUAACUCUUGUGUCAUUUACAUUACUUGCAGAUUCACAGUCGGAUUUACGUUGUUCCAAGACCAUCCGGUUUUGUGCAUCAACAGAAUCUAUGUGUGUAAUCUUUGUGUGUGUCUGUGUGUGUGUGCGUGUGUGUGUAUACUAUGUGUGUGUGUACUCUGGUUUGUCUGUGUGUGUGUGUAUACUCUCUGUGUGCGUGUAAUCUCUGUUUGUGUAUACUCUAUGUGUGUGUGUGUGUUGUGUGUAAUAUGUGUGUGUGUAAGUGUAAUAUGUGUGUGUAUACUGUGUGUGUGUGUGUGUGUGUGUAUGUAUGUAUGCAAUGUGUGUGUGUAUGUAUGUAUGUAUGCAGGGUGUGUGUGAGUGUAUGUCCGUGUGUGAGAGUGUGUAUGUCCGUGUGAGUAUGUGUGUGAGUGUGUAUGCAGUGUGUGUGUGUGUGUGUAUGUAUGCAGUGUGUGUGUGUAUGUAUGCACAGUGUGUGUGUGUGUGUAUGUAUGCAGUGUGUGUGUGUGUGUGUGUAUGCAGUGUGUAUGUGUGUGUGUGUGUAUGUAUGCCGUGUGUGUGUGUGUAUGUAUGCAGUGUGUGUGUGUGUGUAUGUAUGCAGUGUGUGUGUGUGUGUGUAUGUAUGCAGUGUGUGUGUGUGUCUAUGUAUGCAGUGUGUGUGUGUGUAUGUGUGUGUGUGUAUGUAUGCAGUGUGUGUGUGUGUAUGUAUGCAGUGUGUGUGUGUGUAUGUAUGCAGUGUGUGUGUGUGUGUGUAUGUAUGCAGUGUGUGUGUGUGUGUGUGUAUGUAUGCAGUGUGUGUGUGUGUGUAUGUAUGUAUGUAUGCAGUGUGUGUGUGUAUGUAUGUAUGUAUGCAGGGUGUGUGUGAGUGUAUGUCCGUGUGAGUAUGUGUGUGAGUGUGUAUGCAGUGUGUGUGUGUGUAUGCAGUGUGUGUGUGUGUGUAUGUAUGUAUGCAGUGUGUGUGUGUGUGUGUAUGUAUGCAGUGUGUGUGUGUGUGUGUGUAUGUAUGCCGUGUGUGUGUGUGUGUGUAUGUAUGCAGUGUGUGUGUGUGUGUGUAUGUAUGCAGUGUGUGUGUGUGUGUGUAUGCAGUGUGUGUGUGUAUGUAUGCAGUGUAUGUAUGCAGUGUGUGUGUGUGUGUGUAUGUAUGCAGUGUGUGUGUGUGUGUAUGCAGUGUGAGUGUGUGUAUGUAUGUAUGCAGUGUGUGUGUGUGUGUGUGUGUAUGUAUGUAUGCUGUGUGUGUGUGUGUGUGUGUGUGUGUGUGUGUGUGUGUGUGUGUGUAUGUAUGCAGGGUGUGUGUGAGUGUAUGUCCGUGUGUGAGAGUGUGUAUGUCCGUGUGUGUGUGUUAGUGUGAGUGUGAGUGUGAGUAUGUAUGUGUAUUUUGCACAUUUGUCCAUGAGUGUGUGUGUGUACUUGGUUUAUAACCAUGAUAUUACAAUGUGAAUGUUUUGUAUUGUGUGGGGUUGAUGCUGAAUUGCAAUUUUUUGUGGUUGUUAGUUGUAGAGAAGAUGAGCAUAAACGGAAGGCUAAGGCUAAGGCUACUGCAUUACAGGUGUCCUUUAAUUUCCCUCUUCACAUGCAAUGCCUAGCAAUGAUAGCAAUCCUCAUACUAGUGUUCUUAGACACAUGUUUAUAGAUGUAUAAGAGUAGAACAUUUUGAAUAUGAUGCCUCGGGUUAAUGAUAACUUUUUUUUCUCAACGCCACCUGUAUAUUUGUUGCCUUGGGUUAAUGAUAACUUUUUUAUUUCCAACACCACCCGUAUAUUUGAUGCCUCGGAUUGUGACUUCGCUAGUUACUUUGAUCUAGUUCAUUUCGUAUCAUAAUCACUUCAUUUCCAUCACCCUUAAUAACAGUAAAUAUUACAUAUAUAAUGUCCUUAAUUUGUUUUUUGUUUUUUUUUUGUUUGGAUAGAUAUGGACCGAAUGAAGCUUUUAUUGAUCUUAUUGUUAGAGAUGUCUUAUUUGGAGACAAUUUGCAUUUGUACGAUUCUUGUGUUGAUGAUGCUACGUGGCAAACAGAGACAUGUUGAACGACCCACAUUGACUAACCGUUCACUUAUUAGACGAGAGAUUAGUUUGUGUUAUCUGAAUGGUAUAAUAGGGAAUACUGAUACUGAAUGUGUCAACGAAUUGAGAAUGGAUAGAAGGACUUUUGGCAUAUUAUGUGACUUACUUCGUCAAGAUGGGAGGGUAAAAACUGAUGAUUUGGUGUCUGUAGAAGAGCAGGUGUGUAUGACUUUACAAAUAUUAGCACAUCAUACUAAGAAUCGUAGUGUUGGCGGUAGAUUUUAUAGGUUGGGAGAGACUAUAAGUAGGUAUUUCAAUAGCGUAUUGCAAGGAAUUUUGCGAUUACAAGGUAUCCUACUAAAAGUCCCUCAGCAUGUGCCUAUUGAUUCUACAGAUCCUAGGUGGCAAUGUUUUAAGGUAUGAUGAGAAUUUUUUUUCAUUUUCCCUAAGCUUUAACUCUUCAUUCCCUUUGUAUAAAUUAACAAAAACUUUUUUUUAUUUUUUAUUUUUUAAGAAUUGCUUGGGAGCAUUGGAUGGAACACACAUUGAUGUGCAUGUACCUGAAAUUGACAAACCAAGAUACCGAACAAGAAAGGGUCGAGUCGCAACUAAUGUGUUAGGUGUGUGUUCAGGAGAUAUGCAGUUCAUAUAUGUGUUUUCGGGGUGGGAGGGUUCUGCAUCAGACUCUAGAGUGCUACAUGAUGCAAUUACUAGGCCUAAUGGUUUUAAGGUACCAGCGGGUAAGACUAUUACUUAGUCUCAACUUUGUAAGUUAGGUCUAGUUCUGUUUGUCAACUACAAAACACUAAUAAGGUCUGUUUUUUUUUUUCCAUUAGGUUAUUAUUACCUUGUAGAUGGUGGUUAUACAAAUGGUGAAGGAUUCCUUGCACCCUAUAGAGGAAUACCUUAUCAUUUAUCUGAAUGGGAGGGAUGAACACCUUCUAAUAAGGAAGAAUAUUUUAACAUGAAGCAUUCUAAGGCAAGGAAUGUAAUUGAACGUUGUUUUGGCUUGCUAAAAGGAAGGUGGUCGAUACUAAGGAGUCCAUCUUUCUAUCCGAUAAGGACACAAGGUCGAAUAAUUACCGCUUGUUGCCUACUACACAAUCUUAUUAGGCAAGAGAUGUCUGUAGAUCCAAUGGAGAAUUUGCUAAUAAUAGAAGAUGGACAAAAUACAGAAGAAGGUGAAUAUGUUGGUAGUGUUCAAACAUCUGACCAGUGGACUGCAAAGAGGAAUGAUAUGGCUCAGGAAAUGUAUAACGAGUGGAGAGCAAUUAGGAACCAGCAACCGAACUAGCUAUAUGUGUUAAUGAUAAUAUUUUAUUUUAGUAUUCCUUUUUAUCAUGCAUUUGUUAGAUAUUAGCACACUGAUUGGAUGAUAUGCAAAUUAAUUGGAUAUUAUGCAAGUUGAUUGGAUAUUAUGCAAAUUGAUUAUUUGUAUGGUAUUUUCCUUCAUUAAAAUAUUUUUUGUUUAGGUAUGGAUAACGAAAAUAUUUUGAAUGCUACUCAAGAGCCAAAAGGAAGAAGGCAUAAAUGGGAAGCAUUUGAGGAAGAAGUAUUACUAGGAGUUCUUGAGGAUUUUGUUGCUCGGAAGCAACGGUGUGACACCGGUGCUUUCAAACAAGGUACUUUGGUUGAAAUAGCAAAAGUUGUCAAUGUUUUAUGUCCUCAUUCAAAUAUAAAGGCAAAUCCACAUAUUGAGUUCAAGUUGAAGAAAUGGAAAAAAACAUAUAGUAUGGUCGUUGACAUGAUAAACACAAGUGGAUUUGCAUGGAAUGAUGUCAAAAAGUGCGUUGAAGUUGACAGUGAUGACUCAUGGCAAACUUAUGUGCAGGUUCAUAUCCUAUUUUAUUUAUACAUUAGUUAUAUUAUUGCUGCUAUAUUUGUUACGCAUGCUAAAUUUUAGUUUUGCUAUGUUGAUAUAAUCUUAGAGAAAUAAAGAAGCCGAUGGAUGGAGAAGCAAACCUUUUCCACUGUUUGAUAGAUUUGCAUAUAUAUUUGGAAAAGAUCGGGCUACGGGUAAUGUAGCCGAAACCCCUGCUCAAAUGGUGGAGGAACAAAGUCAUGAUCAUGUUGGUGAAAGUGAUAUUGGAGGUGAAAAUUUUGUUUCUCUUCAAUGAACCAACAAAGCCAACAAAGCACCCCAUCUGAAAAUAGCCAAAGAAAGAGGAAAAGAGCUGUGGGAAGUUCAAGUGAUGGAACCGAGGAAAUUAUCAGUGGACUGAAAGAUUUUUAUGUUGAAAGUGGGAAGAGGAUGCAAAUGGUAACUGAAGCUUUAGUUCAAGGUACUGCAGAUCAUACUGACAUAGCUAAUGAACUUGAAGCAAUGGGUCUCUCUCCUAUGGAUCAAAUUGAUGCAUUGUCUCUUAUUUUGGAUAAACCAAAAAAUGUGGGAGUGUUCAGGGCAAUCAAACCGGAACUCAAGAAAGUGUUCGUCCAAAAGCUUUUAAGCGACAACGCAAGCGGAUGAUGAUUUUGGCUAAUGUUAACAUGGAUGUAUUUUAUUAAUGUUAACAUGGAUGUAUUUUAUUAAUCAUACAAUCUUAUGUUAUGGCUUAUAACUUAGCUUUGCACUAGUAUUUUGGCUUAUGUUAACUAGCCAUUUUGUAAAUUAUGGAGAUCUAUUUUGGCUAAUGUUAACUAAUGUUAACUAGGAUUUUCUAAAUUAUGGAGAUCUUCUUAUGUACUUGUAUUUGUUGAAGUUGCAUGUAUUGGGCACUAUUAUUUUUCUUCUGUUGGGUGAUAGAGUUUAAACCAAGCUACAUUUGCAAAUUAAACCCAAUUCUAUUAGCAGGUAAUAGAAACAAAACAAUUGUCAAUUUUUGUUAAGAUUCAUAAUAUACAUGGCAAAAAUAUGCUCCAAUUAACCCAUAUCAUGAGAUUUGUAGCAUUACUCUAUUACACAAUGGCAAAAAAUUUGUAGUCCUAGUCUAAGCAAACACAAAUCUGGUGAACAGUACUGUUUUUCUUAUCCUGCUUCUUAGUCCGACAUUACACCAAACGCUUCACUAAGUUAGUCCAGCUUAGUCCAGUCUAAGCCAGUCCAGCUUAGUCCCGGCAGCUAGUCCAGUCCGAGACAAUCCGGCGCAACAAACGCACCCAUAGCCCAUUUGAAAAUGCUUCCUCACAAAGCACUUAAGGUAUGAAAUAUUUAAUAGAAAUGCAAGUUUUUUUUUUUUUUUUUUUUAUCACAAAAACACUUCUAAAUUUUUUUUAUCAAAUAUGGUCUGAAACAUUUCUAGUGAUUUAAAAACACUUUUAGUUAUUUUUAAAGUACUUUCAAGCAGGUUAUCAAACUGAAUUUUUUCAAUUGAUUGGAUUCCAAAGGAGAUCUCCUAGAGCUAGUAUAUGUGUUCGUUUUUUUUUUCCAAAGUAUAUGUGUUCGUUUUAAACUGGUAUUUGAUUUGAUAAUCGAUGUCUAAUUACACUUCCAACCUAUGAGUAAAAAUGACUAUAAAGGAGAUCAGUUUCAUGGGAAUUGUCCUGCUUAAGAAGAUGCAAUAUACCUAAGCUAUGAAUCAUCUUCAUUAUCGGUCAUUAUUUGCUCCUAGAAAAAUGAACCCGGAAGUUAAAAAUCACAGCAAAACAUUCGCUUGUAGCUUUUGAUGCACAUCAAAUUUUGGGCUCAAGGCCGUAUGGUCGUGGGACCAAAAAGGCCCACUAUGAGCUUAUAUACCUACCAAGAAUUAUGGACGUAAGAGCAAAUCUUUAAUCUCUAAUCUCUAAUAUUAGAAAUAUUAGAAAGUCAGAAGUCAAGUUUGGUGUCUCAAGGCUUCAUAAAAAGUAAUUGGACUAAAAAGCCCCUCAAAUAAAAAAAAAACUACCUUAGAUAUAAAGCUACCUAGAAUUUAUGAAUAUUUCAUGAUGGAUAUUUUUGUCAAACUAAAAGUAAAAUAAAAUAAAUAAAAGAGGGAAAAAAAAAGUAAAAAAAUUGAACGUGUGAUUCAAACCUCCACGUUUCCUUCGCACGCAUAACAUUGCUUUUUCCCCUAUAACUUCCCACUCCCACAUCAGUAUUUCCUCUACGUCUCUGGCUUUGCAAACAUAGCGGAAUGGUUAUAGAGAGGAAAUAAACCACCAACAAAAAAUGGGUAAAAAAUUUCAACGAAGUGGCCUUAUAAACUCGACUAGAAGCUUUCAAGAGAAGAGCAAAUGAAUUUUCAAUACAAAAAGGGAGCAGUAGUUUUGGGUUUUUUCUUUUAAAUUUUAGGUUUUGCUUUGCGUUACAGAGUACUACUUGCUUUUGUUUGUUUUGCUUGCUUCUGUUUUUUCUACUGAUAAAAUUAUUUGUAUUUUUAGGAUGCCAAGUUUGGUAGAAAGAAAGCGCCGGAGCCGCAACAAACCGUGCUGUCCAUUGAUGGUGCUAUGACUAAUGGGAGUAGUUCAUGUGAAGAGAACAUGUAGUGGAUUUGAUCUUAUCAUUUGCUGCAUUGCAUGGAAUUUGUAGAGUUGGGCUCAUUUGUUCUUCGUUUUUGUCUGUUUUUCAGGCAAAAAACUCGGCAACUUCUUCAAAUGGAGUCUUAUUUGCAUGAUGAGAUUCUACGACAUUUUUAUAUGUGACGUGUUAAUUUUCAUGGAGGAUGUCUUCUGGGAAUUCUAGUGCGAGGGUUCUAUGCUAUUCCUGUGGAUGAGGAAGAGAUGCAAAGGCAUCUUUAAUAAUUCAUAUGCCUUCUGGAAAUUCCAGUGCGACAGCGUUAUUCCCGUGGAUGAGGAUGCCUUCAAUAAAUUCCAGGGCGAGGGUUCUAUGUGUUACUCAUGUGGAUGAGGAGGCGAUGCAAAGGAACAAUUUAAUUUUGACGAUGGAGUUCGUUUGUUUUUUCUAUUUACUCAUGUCUUUUUUCAUUUAUGUUUGACUGGAUUUUGAUAAUUUAAUGAUGGUCUUUCGGUUCUCAUGUGGAUGCUUCGCCUCUAUGACUUAGGUUUAGAGAAUUUUUGUCUUUUAAAUAACUCUUCUCUGCACUGAUUGGUAGAGAAGAAUAUAUAGCGCUUCUCUGCACUGAUAUUAAUAUGCAAGUUAUUGUUCUUACAUAUAUUUUUUCCUCAUGUUAUCUUUUCUUUUGUCAAAAAAAUUAUUGCGUUCUUUUUCUUUUUUGGGUUUAUGUAGGAAUACGAAAACAAUUAAAGUGGAUUUCAACAAAUCAAGAAUGGACACAUAUGAUAGGAGCAAUAAUUUAGUUUUACAUAAAUAAUAUCUCCAGUUAAUGCUUGACUUCACGCAUAAAGACAUUCUUGAUUUCUUGGUUUAUUAAUUUGAUACCUUUCAUAAUGUAGGUCACAAAUUAAAAAUAAUUAUAAGAACGUCUUUAUGCAUAACCAAAUGUAAUAAAGAAAAAAAAACCUCACAAUGUAAAAGUACAUUUUGCACGCGCAUGAGAAGAGUAAUUGAAAAGACGAAAACCUUUUAUUGACAACCUUAAAUUGAAGUGACUAAGGAAGCUUUCUCGAACUUAUAUGCAUACUUUAAUUUCUCUGCAAUAGUUCAAAUUAUAUGUUACGAAAAAUGAGCAGUCAUGAUUAAAAUGAGGGAAUAUUAUUUUCUUUUUUUUAUUAAUCCAAUAAAUAAAAAGCCAAAAUACUAGAUUAUUGAAGAUAAACCCUAUCCGCUUGUGGAAGCUCUUCAAGAGGUCAUUUUACAAUGUAUUGGUACACCACUAUGGUAGUGUUAUGUGUCAAUGAAAUUUUUGUUCCUGUGUCCUUAUUUCAUUGGCACAUGAUACUAUGUGGCGGUCCUAUGCUAUGUAAGUUGUUCUUCAACAAUGAUAUUUUAUGAAAAUUUUAUUAUGUGUAUCUUAUGUACUAGAAGUUUUGACAAUAUAACUUAUUCCUAGAAUGCUUAAUAAAAAGUUUGACGACUAAAAAUCUCAAUGCAUAAAGAAUCCAAAAGUAUACUAGAACUAGAAAUCUUGACUACUUAGGUGCGCUGCGUUUUAACACCGUUCAAUCAACCAUGUGUUGGAUAUAUGUCAACAAUAUGUGAUAAACUUAUACAUGCUAAUAAAUAAUAAAUACUAAUAAAUAUUGAACAUAGUAUGAACAACGAAAUAAUUUUAAACAGAAAAUUGAAGAUCGAGGCUUACGUACCGUAAUGUCCUUGAAACAGAAAUUUCGUCCCUACUCAGUGCUUGUAGUUCUACGGAUGUCUACUUCACCAGGAUUCAACGAUCAAGUUAGAAUUCCAGCACCGGAAAACUUAACUUCUGGCGAACUUCUGUGUGGUUCUCUUAGAAAGGAUGUUUGUGAUUGUAGAAGAAGAAUAUUGAUUUUCUAUAUUCUAAAUGUCAUGCAGAUGGAUAUAUAUAUAGUAGAUGGAUGCAUGUUCGCAACAUGUAUGAGAAUGAGAUGUGUCUGUUGGGAGACAUCUUCUCUAGAGGGGUGCUUUGUUCUGUGUUCUUUCUGAACUCUUCAAACUUCAUAUGAAAGAAUGAGUUUGUUGGUAAAAAAUAAAUAAAUAAUUAAAUUCUAAAUUAAUUAAAAUUAAUUAAUUAAAUCCAAAAUUAAUUAAUUAAAUAUAUUAAUUGUAAUUAAUUACCAAUUAAUUAGUGCACCCCAAAGCCCAACCCCAAGGGUGAACCCAAUUUUAUUCUCCAAGCCUAUUACUACAAUCACUUUCUAUAAAGGAUAAAGCCAUAUAAACUGAUAAAAUCUUUUGAGAAUGGCCAAUGUGGGACAAAGAAAUUUCUACUCAAACUACUCAAAUUUCCAACACCAUGGACGCUGGGUUAAAUGAUACUAUGACUUUUAGGUUUAAAAAAAAUCAAAAGGAAAUAUAGUGUUGCAAUUUGACGCAUUUCUACUUCCAUAUGGAUUUUUGUCAAAAGUGGUGUGUGACAAGCAUAAAUUCUCGACAUUUUACUCUACUAGGAUGAGAGCGUUGAGCUUUUUGAGAUAAACAAAAAGCUGCACAAACAUAUGUAGUUUUGUUGGUAGUGUAUGUCGAUAGAAGAAUUGUUUUCAAGUACUCUAGUCGCAAUAAAUGACUAGAGUACAUUAUAAAAAGGGCUAGUGAAUUUCGGUGGUGCCAAUUUGCGACAUAACAUGAUGUUUCAGAUGGUUAUUUAUAUUAAAUUUAAGAGUUUUGGUAUUAUUUGAGCAAUUUUCCCAAAACCAAGAUUAGGGUGCAAGUCACAAAGUCUUAAGUGUCUUUAAAAUCCUAAAAGAACACAAACCAAAAGAAUAUUCAUUUAGAAAUGAUGAUGUUGAAGAUUUCUUCACAUCUUUAUUAGAGGAAGGGUUGAUCGAGCUUCAUGAACCUACGAGACCGGAUGAGGUAGGACGAGUAGAGGGCUCAAGUAACUGAGAGCAUUCAUCUCGCUGUGUGUAAGUCAAGUGUCAUGGAGACAGCUAAAGUAACGGAGUUUCAUCACUCUCGCGCAAAAUAAGAAGAGAGUUUUAACGAAAAGCCCGCAUUACUGUUCACUCUAAUGAAAAACCACAUUUUAACACUAAAAAGUCAAACCUGGUACUAUUCACUUUACCCUUUAUUUUGUCCUUAUCGUUAAAACUCAAAUUUUUCAAACCCUUUUCAUUAGUUUUCCUAAAUAAGAAUUUACAUCUCAAUCAAUCUCAAAACACGAACCACACAAUUCAAAAUAAAAUAAAAGGAGUGAAAUGGAUAAAAUUAGAGCUUUGUAACAAUUAGAUAAACAAUAGAAAAAUCCACAAUUUGUUAACUGAAAUUUUAGGGUCACCCACAGAGGUGCAACCCUUCAAAAAUAAGCGUAUGCCACUUGUGGCGAUGAGCACACGGUAUUCUUUAGUAAAAGGCGAAAGAAUAGUUCGCUUUGUGCUCAACGCAUGGCUCCGUGGUUUUGACACCAGGAUGCUGCUGUCUUUUAUACCUCUGGGCUAGCUGUUUCUUUUCCACUAGGCGGUGUGGGACUGACUCACCAAAACCCAUACCAGCGUUUCAGCCCCUCGUCUUUGAUGCCCAAUGGCACCAAACCAGCUUCCAUGAGCAGAUGACUUGUGUGAUGACAUUCUUUAGAUUUCUACUAUUUUGAACAAUUUCCCCACCGAAACUCUUAAUGCUUGAAGAAACCAAGUUCGAGAUUUUUUUACUGUACUAUGGAGUUUUGAAUCCUGAAAUCCUUAGUUAAAGAUACAACUAUAAAAUCUAAACGGUUAAAAACUCUCGAAUAUACGAUACUCCAGAGUACUGUAGAAAUUUCGAUCAUUUCCAACUCCCGACCAUGACCAUAACUCUUAGUUUGGUAGUUACCUUUGUCAAUGUCAUACCUUAUAUGAAAUUAGCCCUUGGCUUCUCAUGAGAACAGUGUCAUUCCCCGAUGCUCACAAACUGUGUGUUCUACUAGGAGGUGUCAUCAAUUUCAGGAGUAUGGACUCCAUAAGAGAAUGCUAGGGCACAAAGAAAAGAUGGAUUGGGGUUCAGAUCUCAGUUCUCCAAAGCUUGUUAAUCAUAUAGUGGCUCAUUGCUUUUACGUUUUUUUGUUUUUAAUCCAUAACGUGUUCGUACAAAAUUUUUAAGACACAUUGACCAAAAAAAACAAAAAAAAAUUUACGACACAUGAAGUCGCAUUAAAUUUUUGUUUUUAUACAAGCAAUAGUGUGGAAAGUUGCAUCAUAUGCAUGGGUUAUUUCUUCUUACAAUUUCUUUCAACUUUUUGUGUCUUACAAUAACCGUCAGCGGAAUUUAGUUUGUGACUUUUCUUAGCUUUUCGGAACUAUAAUUUUUUUUGUCAAUCUAUGAAAGUAAAAUAUUUCCUCAACUUAUAUGAUUUAUUAAUUUGACAACCGCACAUUGUUGACGUAUCGAAUUAAAUUUAUAUAAAUUUAAUGAUGGUCUUUCGGUUCUCAUGUGGAUGCUUCGCCUCUAUGACUUAGGUAUAGAGAAUUUUUGUCUUUUAAAUAACUCUUCUCUAAACUGAUUGGUAGAGAAGAAUAUAUAGCUCUUCUCUGCACUGAUAUUAAUUUGCAAGUUACUGUUAUUGCAUAUAUUUUUUCCUCAUGUUAUCUUUUCUUUUGUCAAAAAAAUUAUUGCGUUCUUUUUCUUUUUUGGGUUUAUGUAGGAAUACGAAAAAAAAUUAAAGUGGAUUUCAACAAAUCAAGAAUGGACACAUAUGAUAGGAGCAAUAAUUUAGUUUUACAUAAAUAAUAUCUCCAGUUAAUGCUUGACUUCACGCAUAAAGACAUUCUUGAUUUCUUGGUUUAUUAAUUUGAUACCUUUCAUAAUGUAGGUCACAAAUUAAAAAUAAUUAUAAGAACGUUUUUAUGCAUAACCAAAUGUAAUAAAGAAAAAAAAACCUCACAAUGUAAAAGUACAUUUUGCACGCGCAUGAGAAGAGUAAUUGAAAAGACGAAAACCUUUUAUUGACAACCUUAAAUUGGUUGAAUAGGUUUUGGCAACAUUAAAUUGGAUUACGAAAAGUAUUGAAAAUACAAAAACCUUCUAUUGAUUGUUAGACUUCGUGUGAAUGACAAUGAGAUAACAACUAGGUUUCUUGAAAUACAUGUAAACUCAUUGUGCGAGUUAUGUGGUUGAAGGAAUUUGAGAUCCUUGGUAUAAUAGGAGUUGUGGAGUUUAGUUAUUGUACAACCAAAUUAACAGGAGUACUUGUAGGGUAUUCACUGAGCUAUAAGAGUCACGAUGGGACUCGAAUUUGCUAUGAGGAUAAGUUUAUCACCACUGCUGAUAAUAGGCCAGUAUGUGUGGAACUCUGAGAGAAUAAUUUGGUAUAUAUAUACAUAUUGAAGAAGUCCCUACUUCCACACAAUAAGACUCUCGAGAACUAAACCUAUUUACUAUAAAGAUUAUCACCGUGCUGGAAGUAGAAGACUGAUUCACUUGCUCAUUCAGUGGCAACAACAUCAGGUAAGUCGUUUUGCAGAUUGCAUGUAGGGUCUUAUACUGAGGUUGUUAAUGGAUGCAAUCCUAUCGCUACGUUGAUUAUGUUGAUGGCUUGUGUGUGCUUAAAUAUUCCAACAUGUGGUAUCAGAGCCACUCAACGUGGCUAGGGUUCUUCACCCUCAUUAAAGACUGAUAGAGUUUUGAUAAAUGCAAAACCAAAUAUAAUCCUGGACAAAAUUAUGGUUCUACUAUAUGUUCUUGCUUUAUCAAUUAGUGAUUUACCUAUCAAUUAAAAUAUGAUAAUAGGCUACCUGGUGUUUCUCGAGUUGUGUUUGUUAUGUUUUGCAGGAAACCUAUUUUCAUCAGAUGAGGACAACGCUGGAAAGACCAGCAAAAAUACAGAAGAAAUUUUGGGUGCAUAAUAUGCUUGUCAAUAAUGAACUGACAAACAUAAUAUAAAUUAUAAACAAGGAAUACAACAUCUAAUCUGCUCAAAAGUGUUUGGAUUGUUGUUUUUGGCUUGUUGAUCAACUGAUUGGAUAUGUGGUUUAUUUGUAUUAAGUGAAUAAUAAUCUACUCAAAAGUGUUUAUUUAUUCAAGUCAAACAAGUAAAUCAAUGUAUAAUGAAUCAUUAAACUGACAAGAUUAAACUCUUCAUCUGCUGAAAGUGUUGAAGUUGUGUAAAUUGCUCUUGUGUUUAAUGACUUAGUUAUACAAAUCUAAUAUAAAUGGUUUCUGUCUAAAGAUGAUACCAUGGUUAUAUGACUUUGGAUGGGGAAAUAUUGAAACAAUAGUUUUCCUUGUUUGAUAAAUUUAGCUACUGAAUAAUAUUAUUUUCGUGAUCUUCUUCAGCACCUCAUAUGAUGUCUCUCAACUUCAACAAUAUAGAGACCUUGACUGGCUCUAACUUCAAGAAAUGGAAGGAGGAAAACUACUUUUGAUAAAUUUAGCUAUUGAAUAAUAUUAUUUUCGAUGUGUGCUUAAUAAGAGGAUAGACUCAAAAAGGACAAGGCAGUGGAUGUGAAUUUUGUGCAAGCUGAAAAACACAAAAGGGACCAUACUUUUGGUUCAACCAUACCUGCUGGUAAGAAGAAAAAGAAAGAAAACUUUUCUUCAUUUAAAAGUACUAACCCCUCUAAAGGAUCUCACAAAAUUAAGCCUAUUAAUGCCGAGAUUAAGAAAGAAAAAUAAUGUUAUUUUUGCAAAGAGACAGGUCACUUAAGAAAGAAUUGCAGUGGAUUCAAAAAUUAGCUUGUCACUAAAGGUAAAAUCAUAAAUGUUUUUGUAUGUGUUGAAUCAAAUUUAGUUUUUAUUCCACCUCAAAGUUGGUGGUUUAACACUAGGUGCUCCAUUCAUAUAACUAAUUCCUUGCAGGGAUUCUAAAAACAAGGGAGAUAAACAAUGAAAUCUAGAAUGUCUAUGUAGGAAAUGGGAGCAAAGUUGCUGUUGAAUCCAUAGGGAGAGUCGAAUUAGUCCUUUCGUCUGGUUUUGUUUUAGAAUUGAGUCCAGUCCUUUAUGUACCUUCCAUGAGAAGGAAUUUGAUUUCUGCAUCUAAGUUAGUUAAGUCAGGCUUUACCUUUGUUGGUGACGAUCAUUGUGUGAAGUUUUACCAUUCGAAUGAUAUUAAUAAAUUGCUUGGGAAAGCUUAUCUUGAAAUCAAUAUGUGGCAAUUAGACUGUUCAUAUAAAAAUGAAUACUUUAGUGUUCAAGCUGUUGGUUCAAAAUCAUUGUCCACUUCUGAAAAAUCGUCCAUGCUUUGGCAAAAAAGGUUGGGGACAUAUAUCUAAAGAAAGAAUCCUAAUCUUGACAAAACAAAACAUGUUGCCACAACUUGAUUUUAGUGAUUUCAAAGAAUGUGUCGAUUGUUUCAAAGGAAAACUCACCAACACUAGAAAAUUAGGUUCAAACCUUAGUCAAUCCCUGUAAGAAAUCAUACAUACUCUCAUAUGUGGACCUUUUCCAAACAAAACCAUUUGUGGAAAAUUAUAUUUCAUAUCUUUUAUUGAUGAUUUUUACGUUAUGCAUAUGUUUAUCUCAUCUCGGAAAAAUCUGAAGCUUUGGAGUGUUUUAAAUCUUUUCUUUUAGAGGUUGAAAAACAAAUUAAAAUUGUGAGAUCCGAUAGGGGUGUUGAGUAUUUUGGCAGGUACACUGAGGUUGGACAACAAAGGGGCAUUUUGCAACUUAUCUUGAACAAAACGGCAUCGUAGCACAAUAUACCACCCCAGGGACUCCUCAGGGUGGCAGAAAGAAGAAAUCGUACUCUCAAGGAUAGGAUAAGGUCUAUGUUUACACACUCACAUCUCUCUAUUUUUCUUUGGGGAGAGGCAUUGAAAACAGUAACAUAUAUCUUGAACCGAGUGCCAAGGAAGUCUGUCAACUUGGUGCCAUUUGAAGUAGGGACUGGAAGAAAACCGAGUUUCAACCAUUUCCAUGUUUGGGGAUGUAAAGUCGAGGCAAGAUUCUACAAUCCAAUGGAGAAGAAGCUUGAUCCACGAACUACAAGUUAUAGGUUCAUUGGAUACUCCAAAAGAUUAAAGGGGUUUAAGUUCUAUUGCCCUAACAGUCAUUUCAAAAUUAUGGAGACACACAAUGCUAAGUUUCUCGAGCAUUUGGAUGGAGAUGAUGAUAGCUCUUCACAUUUAAUAUCAUUAGAUUUUGAAAAACUACCACAAGAAGGUGAGUUGCUUGAGUAGCAAACUAUUGCCGUGUGCAUUCCUUUCGAGUCACCAACAUUUCCUACACCUGAUAGUCUCCCUGAGCAGCAAGUAGAUGAAAUGAUGAAUGAUGACCAAAUUCCCCAUGAUGAAGAGCAAGGUUUUAACAUUGCAAACGUGGAAAAUAAUAAUAUUCAUGAUCACAUAGAUGGCAUGGUUGUUGCACCGAUUCAGGCACUAGUUAGAAAGUCACAGCGAGUUCGCAAGGCUGUUAUGUUACCAGAUUUUGUGUAUCUUAAUGAGGCAGAAUAUAAUGUAGGUGAUGAUGAUUAUCCUACAUCCUAUCACGAAGCAAUCUCAAGUACAAGAUUAAAGUUAUGGAAUGAAGCCAUGCAUGAAGAAUUACAGUCUAUGGAGAAGAAUAGAGUGUGGACCUUAGUACCAAAAUCGACGGGGGUUCACAAACUCGUAGGUUGCAAGUGGGUCUUUAAAACAAAGAGAGACUCAGAGGGUAAUAUUGACAAACAUAAAGCGAGACUAGUGGCAAAAGGCUUUACACAGAGAGAAGGAGUCGAUUACGACGAAACUUUUUCUCCUGUCUCAACCAAAGACUUCAUGAGAAUAAUACUAGCCCUCACAGCUCAUUUUGAUCUAGAACUUCAUCAGAUGGACGUUAAAACAACUUUUCUUAACGGGGAUCUUGAAGAAGACAUAUACAUGAGCCAACCACCAGGAUUUGUUGAAAGGGGGAAAGAAUUGAUGGUUUGUAAGCUGAAUAAAUCGAUUUAUGGGCUGAAACAAGCUUCGAGGUAAUGGAACAAAAAGUUUGAUAAUGUGAUGGAGAAGUCAGGUUUUCAAGAGAAUAAACUGGAUGAGUGUGUGUACUUUAAAGUAUGUGGUACCAAGGUAAUAUUCUUGGUAUUGUAUGUAGACGACAUAUUAAUGGCGAGCUCGGAUGUGUUUCUGUUACAAUCGACCAAGGGCAUGUUAGCUUAGCACUUCGAUAUGAAAGAUUUGGGAAAUGCUCGGUUUGUUUUAGGGAUAAAAAUCAUUAGGGAUCAUACUAAAAGAUCCCUUGGUCUUUCACAAAGACAAUAUAUUGAUAGGGUGACUAAAAGAUUUAACAUGGACAAAUGUUCAAAUGGAAAGCUACCUAUUGGAAAAUGAGUCAAGCUGACUUACGAGCAAGAAUGAUCUAGAGAAAGAAGGAAUGAAAGACAAGCCGUAUGCAUCUCUAGUAGGGACCUUGAUGUUCACAUAAGUACGUACAAGGCCGGAUUUAGCCUUCGCAGUAAGUGUAUUGGGCAGGUUUCAAUCAAAUCCUGGUGUAUCUCAUUGGGUUGCAACUAAAAAGGUCUUGAGGUAUCUUAAAAGAACUAGGGAUUUUAUGUUGAUAUACAGUCAUGUGGACAAACUUGAGUUGGUGGCAUUCUAUGACUCUAACUUUGCAGGAUGUAUAGACGAUAAGAGGUCAACUAACGGUUACAUCUUCCUGCUAGCUAAUGGAGCAGUUUCGUGGAAAAGUUCAAAGCAAAAGAGUAUUGCUUAUUCCGUGAUGGAGGUUGAAUUCAUGGGGUCUUAUGCAGCAACUCAACAAGCCAUUUGGCUUAAAAAUUUGAUGAAGGGACUGGUGAUUAUUGACAAUAUUGAAAGGCCUCUCAAACUUUAUUGUGAUAAUAAAGCUGCAGUCUUCUUUUCGAAGAAUAAUAAGUGGUCUUAUGCGAAUAGGUUAAUGGACAUAAAGUUUCUGAAAGUGAGAGAUGAAGUGAAGAAGGGGACUAUUGAUAUUAAGUAUAUCAACACAAGUUUGAUGGUUGCUGAUCUAAUGACAAAGGCCUUACUAGUGGAAGUCUUCAAGAGGCAUGUUUUUAACAUGGGAGUAAGAGAGUCCUUUGAUUCAGUUAAUGAGUGGGAGUAAGCACUCUAAAGGCUGUGUUGAACUUAUUUAGUUGUUUCUUUUGAUGUCAGUAGCUAGUUGCAAUGCAAUGCGAUAAAUUAUUAUUGUUUUGAUAAUCUAUGCAUUUUAUCAUUUCAAAUAGUUUUAGUACUGAAAGUAAUUUUCAGUUUGUUUUGAGGAACAAACGUUUUGUUUGUUGGUUCUCAACAUCGUGAUUCUGGUAGUAACAUAGUGUUUCAUGAUGAAUGUGUAUGUAAUUAUAGAGUAUCAAGUACAUGUUACUCAUACUUGGGAUUUCUAUGGUUCUGCAUUUUUCUUGAAAUGACAGGUUACUAAUUUGGUGAUUGCAAGCUUUUGUAAACUCAAUGAAUGUUAUACUUCGUAUGAAUUACAAUGAGAUAACAAUUAUGUUUCUUGAAAUACACGUAAACUCAUUGCCCGAGUUAUGUGGUUAAAGGAAUUUGAGAUCCUUGGUAUAAUAGGAGUUGUGGAGUUUAGUUAUUGUACAACCAAAUUAAUAGGAGUACUUGCAGGGUAUUCAUUGAGAUAUAAGAGUCACGAUGGGAAUUGAAUUUGCUAUGAGGAUAGAUUUUAUCACCACUGCUGAUAAUAGGCCGGUAUGUGUGGAACUCUGAGAGAAUAAUUUGGUGUAUAUAUACAUAUUGAAGAAGUCCUUGCUUCCACACAAUAAGACUCUCGAGAACUAAACCCUAUUUACUAGUAGAGAUCAUCACUAUGUGCUGGAAGUAGAAGAUUGAUUCACUUGCUCAUUCAAUGGCAGCAACAUCAGGUAAGUCGUUUUGCAGAUUGCAUGUAGGGUUUUGUACUGAGGUUGUUAAUGGAUGUAAUCCUAUCGCUACGUUGAUUAUGUUGAUGGCUUGUGUGUGCUUAAAUAUUCCAACAUUGACAACCUUAAAUUGGUUGAAUAGGUUUUGGCAACCUUAAUUGGCUUACAAAAAAUAUGAGUUGAUGGUAUAAUAUGGGAAUCAUAGUGAAGCUUUUUCAAACGAAUAUGUAUGCCUUUUGAAGUUUUUUGUAGUAAAGAUGUCUUUAUGCAUGCACAAUUAUGGAACCGAAAAAAGAAUUAUGUAUACUGCGUGUAACGCAUUGUGAUGUAAAAAAAGCCUUUCGCAAGCGCAAGGCGCUUGCAAAAAUUAAGGCUAGUUUACUAUAAAAUCAUCUCAAAAGCUGGUUGGUUUGACCAUUCAAUAUUAACAAAUAUACAUGUCCUUCAUAAUAUUUAUAUUAUUGACACGAAAAUUACAUAAUUGUCAACGUCGUUUUGAUAUGUUUGUCAAUACAAAUUUACAUGGCAAACAAAUAGCAACGUAACGUCAUUUUAUAUUGUGGUCUGACCAAGGUAUUUCCCUUUAGCAGAGAAAUGAUAAGCGGAUGAAAACAAAACAUCGUUUAGCUAUUUCCAUUUCCUUUUUCGUAUUUAGCAAAAAGCGGCAUGGUUCACUUGAUCAUAACGACUUGUUUUCAAAGAAAUUAAGAAUCAAGGAUUUCAAUGUCACCUAUUACAGAACGUGGACUAGAAUAUUAGGAGAGCAUUUAGUUUAUAAAACAAAUAAGGAUGCACAUAUAUUGGUUUAUUUAUUUAUUAGUAUUCUAAGUUACACGGGUUGGUUUGGUAUUGUUGUGCUUUUUAAAAAAACUGAUUCUGUUGUGCUGUGAAAAUUAACAGCUAUAAAAAAAGCAGUAGAGUGUUUGGUAACUUUUUUUGUAAAAGCGCUUUUAACAAAAAAAAACACUGUUUAAAUGUUUGGUAAACUUUUAUAUAAAACUGAUGUGACGAUGUUAAAUGAUCAAAAAGGGUAUGAUGUUAGAUGUUAUACUUUUUUAUUCAUAAUGUAACUCUUUCUAGAAGCAUCCAAUUUUCUCUCUGCCCCCUCUUCUCUUUUCCACAUCUUCCAGACACUUCUCCACACCUCCAACCAUCCCCCACUGUAGCACCCUUGAGACCAAGAUGAUCUCCCCAAAUUUGAUAAUUUAUUUUCUAAAUUUGGUUGGGCUUGAUUAUGUAAUUACAGUAAAAGCAUAUGCAAAUUUGGUGAUAAUAAGGUUUGGAGUGUGAGGGUUCAGCGACUCAGAGUUGAUGAAGCUCAAAAUUUUGAGAAGGUGUGGGGGUUCAGCGACACCAAGGGCUACGGCUUCAUCACCCCCUAAGACGGAAGCGAGUAUUCACCAGUCAUCGGUAAGAUCCGACGGCUUCCACACCGUCGUUGAAGGCGAGUCUAUAGCAGUAGUUUUGAAUUUGGUAGUGGUUGUGGAUUCGAGAGAAAAUAUAGGAGGUAGGCUGCGGCUAUGGUGGGUUGCAUUCUUGAAGCAGUUUUCUGCAGUUUUUUAAAGCAGGGUUAUAGCAGCUUCCUGAUUUCUGCUUUUUAUCACCUCGCUUCAAGAAAAAGCUGCUUUAUUUUUUAGUUACCAAACACUUGAAGGAUCCAAAUUUUUUUAAAAAGCUACUUUUUAAUUAAGCACCGCAAUGCUAAACUGGGGCUUAGUACUUGGAAAUAAGCUUUAAGAAAAGACAUAGAAUACUUGAAACCAAUGGAAGUCUUGGCACAAAAUCAAGCACAAUGGUGUCCUAGGAUUCAUACAGCUGAUCUCACUUAGUGAGAUAAGAUUUUAUUAUUGUUGUAGUAUCCUAAGCUACAUGAGAGUUUCAACAUUAAUGGCAGUGCUAGUAAGUUGAGGAAUAUUCUAUCCGUCAAGGCAAUUUCCUUGUUGAGUUUUAAUAACCAAUUUUUCUUACAAGUGUUCGUAUAUUUCUUUUACCUCAAUCCAACCUAAUAAUACCAUCAAAUUCAUCAUACCAUUUUCGGAUAGAAAAUGUUAUUGGCACUCCAAAAAUCUCAUCCUACACUCCUCUUAAGUGUAUUUUUCUUUCUAAAUAUAGAAAGUUUACAGUAUAAAAUGAAAAAUUUGAAAUGCCAAUAAUAAUUCUUUUUUCAAAUACCUUAUAACAAACGUAAUCAAGUUAAAUCUUGCUACUUCAAUUUAUACUGGCGCCACUAGAUAGCUGGCUCCUCUGGUCGAUGUGGGACUUAUGCAGCAUAGUUGUUGUUCAACGGUCAUCUAUACCUACAAAAGCAUUCAUACUUGUCCAUGAUGCUUCCAUCACAUUUGUCAUUUUUCACUUUCUCCAAGUCUUUUCCACGGCUCAAUCCCGAUUUGUACAUUUGCUCAUUUCAUCUUUAUCCCCUUAAAAAUCCUCACCUAUUUUCGUAUCAACUCCACCAAAUUAGUCUGUAACGGGAAAUGUUGUAAUCCAAAGCAAUUAUGCCCACCUCAAUGUCCAAAAACUCUGAGAUUGUGUCAAUACAUUCAUAAAAAAAAGUAUGAGAAAAGUCGUCAUUUUACUAAAUAUAAUAUUAUUUUAACAAUUUUAACUGUGUAUAAACCGAGUUUUAUAUAUGUGCAGGUUUUAAGUUGUGUAAUGUGGCGUGUCCGAAAUUAUCAGCCCAAACUAACAUGAAAUCAGUUUUAAUUUUGAACCCAAGAAUUUUAAAGUUUCUUGCAAAACGUACAUAAAGUCUAAUGAGUGAUCUCCAAUCCAACCCGAGAGAACAAACGACAUAGCUCCACGAUUAAAAUUGUAAGUCCCGAGCCAAGUUUCAAUGAAGAAGACAUUUCCCAUGCAUUGUUCAAUCCCUUAAUUUGUUAAAAAAGUGAUAAGAAAAAUACCUUAUUCAAUGAAGAAAAGACUAGUCCACACAAUAUUUGAGUGGAGAAAGCUAACACACGACAACUUGUAUAUAAGAGAUUUUUCAGUGCCGGAACAUGGUUCGGUAUAUUAAAUGUCAUAAUACAAGUGGUUGAAUACUUGAAAAUAAAAAUUAAACACUUAUAUUAUAACAUUUAGCGGCCCGAGUCGUGUUCUGACAUACUGAAAAUUUUCUCCAAGCAUAUAAGGUGCUAAAUGUCAAAGCUUUCUUACCCUACUAAUUAUUAUUAGUGAUUGGCCUAACUACUACCUAACUAUACACCUUAAUGAGGCCUACUACAUUAUACUCUAGUUCUUUCUUAAACAUCUAUUUAUAAGAUAAAUAGAUCGUUGAAAAACUGAUCGUUUGACACUUACCAGUGGGGAUCCUGAUGGCAACGUGUUUGCUGGCUCUUUUCUAUGGUUUCUCCUGCCUCUGUAAGUUUCUUCUCAGAAGGAGAGACCAGCUGGCCAGGCCCAUGCCCAGUGCUAUCAGGGCGACCGUUUGAGGCUAAAAAAAAUUAGGGGCACCAAAAUUAUUAGGGUGGAUAUUUAUAUAUGUUUUUAUAAGAGUAUAAAUUUAUAAAACUUGGUUCAAUUACAAAGAAAUUUAACUAGAACUAGUGGUUUUGUUGUUUGAAAUUAAUGAGGAGGUCUUGGGUUCAAAACACCAUGGGUGCUUAUUUACCAUUCAAUUUUUACAAAUUUCUUUUCAUAAGAGUAUAAAUAUAUAAAAUUGGCUAAAUGAUCAAGAAGUUUAAUUAGAAUAAAUGGUUUUUGUUGUUUAAAAUUAACGACAGGUCCUAAGUUCGAAAUGCUAAGUCCAUGUUUAUUCUUUUCAAUUUUUACGAAUUUUUGUUUGGUUCUUAAUUUAAUUUUAAUUAGUAGUUAUUAGCUAUGUGGGUUGUUAUUUUUAAAAAUUUGUUCCAAUUCAAGUCUAAUCUUUAACAAAGAGUAAUGCGUUGAGCAAAUUUUUCCAAAUUGCAAAUCAUAUGACGCGUCAUUAAAAAGUUUAGUUUAGUUACCAUUUAUUACUUAUACAUAUCAAUUAAAGACUCAAAAACAUCAUUAUUUUUUUAAUCCCACAUUGACAAGGUUAGUAAAUAAGAAAAAAACAUCUCACGAUUUAUACAAAAACAUUUUAAAAGUUCAGAUGGAAAACGAAACUCAUAUCUACUUGUAAACCUGAAGUUUUUUCGUUUCAUUCACACGAUACAAAAUAAAUUAGUUUUUCUAUGUUUCUAAAUUAUUAAGUUUGAAGUGAUUUUCUAAGUAUAAUUUUAUCGACAUCUUACGUGUGAAAACAAAUAAUUUUUUUAUAUAAAGUUAGGGCACAUUUUUGGACGUCGCCCUGGGCCUCAAAAAUCUCUAGACUAGCCUGGAGACCAGGCUUGCUGUCUGCUGGCCUAUGAGUGCCACAUGCCACCAGACGACCUGAAGCUCAGCACUGAUUCAUGCGUGAAAAUCGUCUUGCAGAACAGGAAUCUGGGACUGGAAGAAUUCAGGUUUCUCUUGAAAACUAUUACCCAUUCGGGCAUUGGCGAGGAAACUUACUGCGCAAGAAACAUCAUCCAAGGCCGAGAAGAAACUGCAACCCUAGAAGAUGAACUUGCGGAGAUGGAUGGCAUCAUCUUUGACGCGCUGGACAAGCUUUUUGCUUGGGCCACCUCAAUUUCUCCAUCGCAAAUCGACAUUCUUGUCGUCAAUGUGUCGAUGUUCUCCCCUGCACCCUCCCUAUCGUCACGUAUGGUGAAUCGUUACAAGAUGAGGGACGACAUCAAGAGCUUCAACCUCUCAGGAAUGGGCUGCAGUGCGACCCUCAUUGCCAUUGACGUUGUACAAAACUUGUUCAAGUCUCCCAAGAAUGCGAAUGCCAUCGUCGUAAACACGGAAUCGUUGGCUCCUCAUUGGUAUUGCGGCGUGUAAAAAUCCAUGAUGCUCACAAACUGUCUCUUCCGCUCGGGAGGGUGCGCGAUGCUGCUCACGAACAACCGAAGCCUAAAGAACCAAGCCAAGCUGAAAUUAAAUCAUUUGGUACGAAUGCACACCGGCUCGAACGACGAAGCAUAUAACUGUUGCAUACAGGUGGAAGAUGAGAGUGGAAAUCGAGGUUUCCGCCUUACCAAAUACCUAGUAAAAGCAGCAACUCUGGAUUUGAAGCUGGUUUGAAGUGCAACAAUAUUGUGUGGGAAGUGAUGAAGGACUUGGAUGAUGUCAAUGUGUGGAAAGACUGCAUAGAUAGUUACCCUAGGGAUCAAAACCAAGUCAAUCCGUUCAUUGAAAAGUAUGGCUGGAUCAAUGAUGAUUAUCUAAGCUUUGUUAGGUUUGACAUGUCCCUAUUCGCUAUUGAGUAAUGCUACACUUACAACAUUUUUCAUAUUACAUUUAUAUCAUUUAUCUAAUAGAAGUAGGACCCACCAACUCAUGUGGAUCUCAUCUCUUUUAGAAAAAUGGUAAAAUAUUUGGUAUGAAAAAUGCGGUAAGAAGAUGAAGCAUAGAAAAGCAUAGAAAAGCAGUAGGCCCAGACGAUAUACCAAUCGAAGUGUGGAAAGUUUUGGGAGAGACAGGUAUAACAUGGCUUACUAACCUUUUCAAUAGGAUUUUGAAAACGAAGAAGAUGCCGAAUGAGUGGCGAAUGAGCACUUUGGUGCCUAUCUACAAGAAUAAGGGCGAUGUACAAAAUUGCAUGAACUAUAGGGGUAUUAAGCUAAUGAGUCAUACAAUGAAGCUCUGGGAGAGGGUCAUUGAGCAUAGAUUGAGGCAAGAGACACGGGUUUCGGACAACCAAUUCGGGUUCAUGCCAGGGCGCUCAACCAUGGAGGCAAUCUAUCUCUUACGAAGAUUGAUGGAAAGAUAUAGAGAUGGGAAAAAGGAUUUACACAUGGUCUUUAUAGAUUUGGAAAAAACGUAUGAUAGGGUCCCAAGAGACAUUCUUUGGAGGAUUUUAGAGAAGAAAGGAGUACGAGUAGCAUAUAUCCAAGCUAUACAGGAUAUGUAUGAAGGAGCAAAGACUGCCGUAAGAACUCAUGAAGGACAAACCGAAAGCUUUCCCAUAACUGUAGGAUUACAUCAAGGCUCAUCCUUAAGUCCUUACCUUUUUGCGUUGGUAAUGGAUGAGUUAACAGGACAUAUUCAAGGUGAUAUUCCUUGGUGUAUGCUUUUCGCAGACGAUAUAGUGUUGAUAGAUGAAACUCAGGAAGGGGUAAAUGCAAAGCUUAACCUUUGGAGAGAAGUGUUGGAAUCUAAAGGUCUUCGCCUAAGCCGAUCAAAGACAGAAUAUAUGGAGUGCAAGUUCAGUGCAAAUGGAGGCCAAAACGAGUUAGGGGUGAGGAUCGGAGAUCAAGAAAUACCAAAGAGCGACCGUUUUCGUUACCUAGGAUCUAUCUUGCAAAAGAACGGAGAAUUAGAUGGAGAUCUCAACCAUAGAAUACAAGCUGGAUGGAUGAAGUGGAAGAGUGCAUCCGGCGUGUUGUGUGACCGCCGUAUGCCACUGAAGCUCAAGGGAAAAUUUUAUAGGACGGCAAUAAGGCCGGCGAUGCUGUAUGGCACAGAAUGUUGGGCGGUGAAGCAUCAAUACGUACACAAAAUGGGUGUAGCGGAGAUGAGGAUGCUUCAUUGGAUGUGUGGGCACACGAGAAAGGAUAAGAUUAGGAAUGAGGAUAUCCGGGGUAAAGUAGGAGUAGCCGAAAUUGAAGGAAAGAUGAGAGAAAAUCGGUUACGGUGGUUUGGACAUGUGCAAAGAAGGCCUACUGACGCUCCGAUUAGAAGAUGCGACUAUGGGACAGAGGUUCAGGGCCGAAGGGGCAGAGGAAGACCUAGGAAAACUUUGGAAGAGACCCUAAGAAAAGACUUAGAGUACUUGGAUCUAACGGAGGACAUGGCACAGGACAGAACACAAUGGCGUUCUAAGAUUCAUAUAGCCGAUCCCACUCAGUGACUUGGAUUUUCCAAGUCUCCAACCAAGAAGUUUUCCUCACUCGGGAAAUUAAGGGAACACUACCUCAACCUAUAUGCUCCACUCACAAAGCUUCAACAUACAAGCUUCAACAAAAGAAAAAUUCAAAGAACUUAGCGAAGAAGGCUUUGGUGUAUUUAACACAAUACGUUGAAAUGAAGGAAAGCUUAUUUAUUGAUAUCCCCGAUAAGUUACAAAUAUGUACAUAUACUUGAGUCAAAAUAAACAAAAAAGAGGGAGCCUUCACAAAGGUUGCUUAGGAGAAGUCUCAGCAGUCGGUAGAGCCCCAGAAAGAGAAGGCACCGGAGGAGGAUCAUUCGGAGCCUCAGUACUGGACAAAAACCCUAGAAGGAGGAGGCAUCAGAGGUUGAUCAUUUGGAGCUUCAUUACGCGGUACAGCCCCAGAAGACGAAGGCAAUAAAUGCCUUUGGAACAAACCCACAAAUCUUUGAUGAUCAAGUAAAACAUGACCAUCAGAUUCCUUCAUCUGGUCAAGCUUCCUCUUCAUGUUUGUAGCAUAGUCAUGUGCGAGCCGGUGCAACUGUUUAUUCUCAUGCUUGAGCCCUCUAAUCUCCUGUUUGAGACUCAUCACUUCAGCCGCCAAUGAUUCAACUUGGCGGGUUCGAGCAAAUAGGCGUUGGGCCAUAUUAGACACAGAACCUGCACACUGAACACUGAGAGCCAGAGAAUCCUUAACAGCCAACUCAUCAGACCGUUUGGAAAGUAGUCUGUUAUCUUUGGGAGUGAGAAGGUUCCUGGCCACUACCGCAGCGGUCAUAUCAUUCUUCAUCACGGUAUCCCCAACGGUAAGAGGACCAGUAGGGGAGACGAAGGAUGGGCGCCAUAUGUUGUCUGGAGAAGGCGGGGCUGCCUCUUCAACAAAGUUCAAGUCAAAACGACGGUCGGAGGGGCCAGACAUUUUCAAAGGUGUUGAAGAGAGAAGAGGUCGGACAAAUCAAGAUCUUAGAAGUGCAAGAAUGGAGCUUCUACUGGUGGAUAUUCAAGUGUGCUUUGGAACUUAAUGUCAGCCCCUAUAAAAAUCUGCACUCGACGAAGCUUCAGAAAUCGAAGAGGCGCCUGCUCAGAAAUCGAAGAGGCGUUUGCUUUCUCAAAAGCUGGGCUGCUCAGAGACCACGAGGGUCGAUCUCAAAAAUCGAAGAGGCGUUUGCUUUCUCAAAAGCUGGGCUGCUCAAAGACCACGAAGGCCGAUCUCAGAAAUCGAAGAGGCUUGCUUUCUCAAAAGCUGGGAUGCUCAGAGACCACGAGGGCCGAUCUCAGAAAUCGAAGAGGCACCUACUUUUCCAGCCUUGUCAGCACCUGUCACACGCACACUCAGCUUUGCGGAAAUUAUGGGCAUUCUAUCGAAGAUUUCUGACGAAGUAGAAAGCACAUGAAUCGUACUGUUCAAUCACCCACUUCCCACACGCAACAGUAGCUCAUGGGUACCACAGAUAACUUUGCAAAAGUUCUCUGACAAAGUUGAGACACGUGAAGCUUGCAGCUCCCACUACAUCGCUCUGACCAAGAAGGGUAAAAAAAUUGCAAAGAAACAACACUAACAAAGUUUAAACACAUAAAUUUUGAAGGUCUAGCUACCAUAUUAUUACCCACAAGGGUAAAGGAACAGUACCACUGCUGGAUAAUUGGAAAGUCCCGGUGUGUCAACCUCUGUGCUUCGUGGCAAGGUAGACUAGUAAACAUGCCCAACCUGUACUCACAUUCGAGAAAACACUCCCAACAAGAUUGCUUGCUCCAAAAUCGAAGAGGCACCGCCCUCCGAAUCUCGAGAGCCAGACUCCCAACAUGAUUACUUUCUCAAAAAUCGAAGAGAGGGUAAAGGAACAGUACCACUGCUGGAUAAUUGGAAAGUCCCUGUGUGUCAACCUUUGUGCUUCGUGGCAAGGUAGACUAGCAAACAUGCCCAACCUUUACUCACAUUCGAGAAAACACUCCCAACAAGAUUGCUUGCUCCAAAAUCGAAGAGGCACCGCCCUCCGAAUCUCGAGAGCCAGACUCUCAACAUGAUUACUUUCUUAAAAAUCGAAGAGAGGGUAAAGGAACAGUACCACUGCUGGAUAAUUGGAAAGUCCCUGUGUGUCAACCUCUGUGCUUCGUGGCAAGGUAGACUAGCAAACACGUCCAACCUUUACUCACAUUCGAGAAAACACUCCCAACAAGAUUGCUUGCUCCAAAAUCGAAGAGGCACCGCCCUCCGAAUCUCGAGAGCCAGACUCCCAACAUGAUUACUUUCUCAAAAAUCGAAGAGACACCGCUCUCCGAAUCUCGAGAGCCAGACCCCCAGCAGGAUUGCUUUCUCAAAAAUCGAAGAGGCAUCGUUCUCUGAAUCUCGAGAGCCAGAUCCCCGACAGGAUUGCUUGUUCGAAAAUGGAAGAGGCACCACUUUCCCAACUUCAAGAGCUGGAUCUCCUUGGAUAAAGCUUGUCUGUAAUCUUCACACGCAACAUCAGCUUUCCAGAUACCACAGACCACUUUUUCAAAGUGCUCUGACAGAGUUAAAACAUGUGAAGCUGGCAGCUCCCACUACCGUGCUAUAACCAAGCAGGGUAAAGGAAUAGCAUUAUUACUUGAUGUUAGGGAGACUCCUAUAUAUGUCGACCUCCAUCCCUAACGGACAGGCAGACCUGCAAAAAUGCUCAACCCUUUCUCUUAUCUGAGAGGGCACUCCCAACGAAGCCUUUCGAAAUAUUCAGCUUUCUUUCCCCCCGAUAAUACCUCUGUAAACAAGCUAUACUAGAGCAAGAAUAUCUCAUAUCAUCAGGGUUAAAAGCAAGAGUAUCCCAUAUCAUGCUUUUUCCCUGUCUUUUCCUUUGGCCUUGUUCUUACCUGCAAGACAAGGAGAAAGAGAGCAAUCAGUCAGCACUUGGAAUCAAGCUUCCAGCCAGGAACUGACUGCCUGGAACCCCUUACCUGAUUACUUACCUGGCAUUGCUCUCGAGUACUCAUCUUCAACAUCUUAUGCUUCCAGGGAAGAUACCGCAUCUGCCUGAGGAACAAAUAGGGCAAGUGAGAAGGAUACAAGGAAGCAUGUGGAGACAAGCGUAACAGCACACGUGCCGAUACAUCCACUACUCUGUCAAAAGCAAAAGUAUCCCAUAUCAGCAGGGUCGAACGUACUCUAGAUUUGAUGGACUUGUUUUGACCCUCAAAUUCUUCAGUCGGCCUUAUACUCUGGAGGAAACCAGAAAACCCUCCAGCCCAGUUCAAGAAUAAGCCUGUGGAAAGUUACUUCUUCAAAAGCAAAAGUAUCCCAUAUCAUCUCUCCUCAUUUUUCUUCUCUUUAUCCUUCAUGCUGCCUGCAAGAUAGGGAGAAUGUGAACAAUCAGCCGGAGCUCUGAUUGCUUACCUUGUCUGUCACCUCUUUCAGCAGAUCCCCUAGCUCGGCGACUUGGGGGACUCCUACUACAUGGUUUGUAUCGCGCUUGACCAAGCAUGAAACUACAAGUAAGCUUCAAGUGAAAUUGAUACAUUACCUUGUGCAUCUCCACCAGUUACAGAUACCACCCCUGGAUGGAGGAAGAGUACUUCCAGAGAAGAUGCCACAUCUACCUAUGAGACAGAUAAGGCAAGUCAAGACGAUACCACACUCCGGUACUUAGAAGUUUCGUGGCUACGAGAUCAUUCUCCCCACAAUAUUUCCUAAUGUCAUUUGUACUAAAUCAUUCACUUGUACUCACUAAAGGAGAGCUUGAACCUAUGUACUUGUGUAAACCCUUCACAAUUAAUGAGAACUCCUCUAUUCCGUGGACGUAGCCAAUCUGGGUGAACCACGUACAUCUUGUGUUUGCUUUUGUGUAAACCCUUCACAAUUAAUGAGAACUCCUCUAUUCCGUGGACGUAGCCAAUCUGGGUGAACCACGUACAUCUUGUGUUUGCUUUCCUAUCUCUAUCCAUUUAUAUACUUAUCCACACUAAUGACCGGAGCAAUCUAGCGAAGAUUACAAAAAGUGACCGUUUUCGCUACCUAGGAUCUAUCUUGCAAGAGAACGGAGAAUUAGAUGGAGAUCUCAACCAUAGAAUACAAGCUGGAUGGAUGAAGUGUAAGAGUGCAUCCGGCGUGUUGUGUGACCGUCGUAGGCCACUGAAGCUCAAGGGAAAAUUUUAUAGGACGGCAAUAAGGCCAGCGAUGUUGUAUGGCACAGAAUGUUGGGCAGUGAAGCAUCAACGUACACAAAAUGGGUGUAGCGGAGAUGAGGAUGCUUCGUGGGAUGUAUGGGCACACGAGAAAGGAUAAGAUUGGGAAUGAGGUUAUCCGAGGUAAAGUAGGAGUAGCCAAAAUUGAAGGAAAUAUGAGAGAAAAUCGGUUCCGGUGGUUUGGACAUGUGCAAAGAAGGCCUACUGACGCUCCGGUUCGAAAAUGUGACUACGGGACAGAGGUUCAGGGCCGAAGGGGUAGAGGAAGACCUAGGAAAACUUUGGAAGAGACCCUAAAAAAAGACUUGAGUACUUGGAUCUAACGGAGGACAUGACACAAAACCGAGCGCAAUGGCGUUCUAGGAUUCAUAUAGCCGACCCCACUUAGUGGGAAAAGGCUUUGUUGUUGUUGUUGUUGUUGUAAUAAGUUUGCGUUUUUCUUUUACCUUGUGGAGAAGUGUGGUUGUUUGAAGUUUGUAUGAAGUUUUUCAAGCCCUGUAGUCUGGAUGUAUCUCAGAAAUAAACCCUAAUCGAUCAGGUGUUCCAGGUUUUUUUUUAUAAAAAUAAGAGUUCAUUAAUUUUCUAGAUGUGAGGCCAUGAUCUAUAUCAGUAUUUCCUUUGCUAGCAAACUCUCUUUUUGAUAUAUUUGUAUUCCCUUUGCUAGUACUGCAUUUACCACAAGUAGUGCAUUACUCUCAUGGUUAGAGAAAACCGUCACUGGAAACACCACUUCAUGUCCGACUUGCAUGUGUUAAGCAUGCCACCAGCGUUCAUUGACGUGGCGGUAUACACCUAGCUCCACAGGAAAGCAAGUCAUUAACUACUGGUUUCUUUCCUCCAGAAUAUCACUUGUAAUAAAAAUAAGAAAACACUACAUAUUUCAACCUCAGCAGCAGCACACCUCGUAUUUCCUUCACUUUAACAAGUGAUAUUUGGCUUGUAUGACCUGUGGAGAUUACCCUAAAUUUUCAAGGACAAGACAACUGUUUAGUUCUAGGGCAUCAAGGGUAACAGCUAAAGAAAAUACAAGCUGAACUUUUACAAUUUAAAUACUGAGAUUUAGGUGCACUAACAGAGAUGCGCCCUUCAAAAAUAGGCGUAUAAGCGACGAGCACACAGUAUUAUUGAGUAAAAGUUGAAAGAAUAGUUUGCUUUGUGCUCAUGUAUGCUUUCGUAAGUUAGUCUCCCGCAGCCUACAAUAUUUUAUAUGAGCGAAGGUAGAUAGUUCUUUGCUCCUGUGGCGGGUGUAGGACAAAUAGUUUGGCUUCCACUUCUUUGCUAACUCCCAAUUUUUUUGCUCAAAUCCCAUAAAUACUUUGGUCUAUUCAGCUAUUCCGCACCAAAAUUCUUUGCCCGUCGAAAUAUCAGCUCCAGUUCAAAACUCUAAGCUUGCAAGUUCCUUUGUCAAUUCUUAUAUGAAAUCAGGCCUUGAUUGCGAACCUAAUACUAUGUUUGGAUGAGGGAAAUAAACUUGGAAUUUAGAUAAAAGUUAGAAUUUGUACAUUGAUAUGCACCAAUUCUCUUGUUUGAAUUCAUAAACAUAGAAAUUUAGAAUUUCCGCGUGAAAAAAAAACUUGGAAUUUGGGAUCUCCAAUUCCCAAGUUUAAAUUCCAUGUAAAUAGAUGUCAUUUCCCAAUUUCUAUGAUUGAGAACUUAAAAAUAACAAAUUCUGUAUUCAAUUUCAUUGUUCUUUUUAAGCUAACCAAACAAAAAAAUUCACAAAUUCUGAAAAAUAAAAUUCCAUCAAUUCAAUUUCCAUUAUUUUAAAAUUUCUUAGUAAUUUUAAAUUUCUUCGUCCAAACAUAGUGUAAGUAGAAAUUAGUUGACAAGAAUUAUGUUUAAGACUUAUAGCCCAUUUUAAAAUGCUUCCUCAUAAAGCACUUAUGGUAUGAAAUAUUUAAUAGAAAUGCACGUGCUUUUUUUAUUACAAAAACACUUUCAAAUGUUUUUGUCAAAUAUGGUCUGAAACAUUUUUAGUGAAAUAAAAACAUUUUUAAUUAUUUUAAAAUCAUUUCUAAACAUGUUAUAAAUAUGUGUGAAAUAUGAUACUACAUAUGUUAUCCAAAAAUUGAAAUUUUCAAUUGAUUGGAUUCCAAAGGAAGGAGAUUUCCUAGAGCUUGUAUAUGUGUUCGUUCUUUUUUCCAACGUAUAUGUGUUCGUUUCAAACUGGUAUUUGAUUUGAUAAUCGAUGUCUACUUAGAUUUCCAACCUAUGAGUAAAAAUGACUAUAAGGAAUUGUCCUGCUUAAGAAGAUGCAAUAUACCUAAGCUAUGAAUCAUCUUCAUCAUCGGUCAUUAUUUGCUCCUAUAAACAUGAACCCUGAAGUUAAAAAUCACAGCAAAACAUUCGCUUGUAGCUUAUGAUGCACAUCAAAUUUUUGGCUCAAGGCCGUAUGGUCGUGGGACGAAAAAGGUCCACUAUGAGCUUACAUACCUACCAACAAAUUUACUAUAAAAUCAUCUCAAAAAGCUGGUUGGUUUGACCAUUCAGUAUUAAGAAAUAUACAUGUCUUCCAUAAGAUUUAUAUUAUUGACACGAAAAUUACAUAAUUGUCAACGUCGUUUUGAUAAGUUUGUUUAAUACAAAUUUACAUGGCAAACAAAUAGCAACGUAACGUCAUUUUAUAUUGUGGUCUGACCAAGGUAUUUCCUUUUAGUAGAGAAAUGAUAAGCGGAUGAAAACAAAACAUCGUUUAGCUAUUUCCAUUUCCUUUUUCGUAUUUAGCAAAAAGCGGCAUGGUUCACUUGAUCAUAACAACAAUUUGUUUUUCAAAGAAAUUAAGAAUCAAGGAUUUCAAUGUCACCAAUUACAGAACGUGGACUAGAAUAUUAGAAGAGCAUUUAGUUUAUAAAAAAAAUAAGGACAUGUUGUAAAAUCGACGGUGUGUGCAGUGGAAUAAAUGAAAUAAGACUCAAAAUUUAUGAGGUUCCUCUACAGUCAGUGUGAUUGAAGUACGUCCUCGGGGCAUCAAUGGUGCUUUCAUUAUAAUUUGGAAUAUAGGAGUACAAAGAUAACUCUCUCUAUUAUCUCCUCUCCUCUUCCUCUCUUUUCUCUCUUCUCAGCCAUGUUGCUUCUAUCCUCAUUCGUAUCUCAUAUUAUCUCCUCUCCUCUUCCUCUCUUUUCUCUCUUCUCAGCCAUGUUGCUUCUAUCCUCAUUCGUAUCUCACCUCCUUCUUCACCUCUCAUUCAUUUUAUAAGCAAAGAGAACACUAUUCACUUUACAAAUUUUCCACAAAUGAAUAGUGAAAAUACUGUGCAUAAAUAGUAACAAACUAUUUAUGUGGGUCAUCCACAUAUUAUUCACAACAGGAUGCACAUAUAUUGGUUUUUUUUUUAUUAGUAUUCUAAGCUACACCUAGUAGUUGGAAAUAAGCUUUAAGAAAAGUCAUAGAAUACUUGAAGUUAACGGAAGUCUUGGCACAAAAUCAAGCACAAUAACGUCCUAUGAUUCAUACAACCGAUCUCACUUAGUGAGAUAAUAUUUUAUUGUUGUUGUAGUAUCCUAAGCUACAUGAGAGUUUCAACAUUAAUGGCAGUGCUAGUAAGUUGAGGAAUAUCCUAUCUGUCAAGGCAAUUUUCCUGUUGAGUUUUAAUAACCAAUUUUUCGUACAAGAGUUCAUAUAUUUCUUUUACCUCAAUCCAACCUAAUAAUACCAUCAAAUUCAUCAUACCAUUUUCGGAUGGGAAAUGUUUUUGGCUCUCCAAAAAUCUCAUUCUACACUCCUCAUAAGUGUAUUUUGCUUUCUAAAUAUAGAAAGUUUAGAGUCUAAUGAGUGAUCUCCAAUCCAACCCGAGAGAACAAACGACAUAGCUCCACGGUUAAAAUUGUAAGUCCCGAGCCAAGUUUUCAUGAAGAAGACAUUUCCCAUGCAUUGUUCAAUCCCUGAAUUUGUUAAAAAAAUGAUAAGAAAAAUACCUUAUUCAAUGAAAAAAAGACUAGCCCACGCAAUAUUUGAGUGGAGAAAGCUAACACACAACUUGUAUAUAAGAGAUUUUUCAGUACCGGAACAUGGUUCGGUAUAUUAAGUGUCAUAAUACAAGUGGUUGGAUAAUUGAAAAAAAAUUAAACACUUAUAUUAUAACAUUUAGUGUCCCGAGUCGUGUUCUGGUACACUGAAAAAUUUCUCCAUUCGUAUAAGGUGCUAAAUGUCAAGGCCUUCUUACCCUACUAAUUAUUAUUAGUGGUUGGCCUAACUACUACCUAACUAUACACCUUAAUGAGGCCUACUACAUGAUACACUAGCUCUAUCUUAAACAUCUAUUUAUAAGAGAAAUAGAUCGUUGAAAGCUGUAUACAUGCAACUGAUCAUUCGACACUUCCCAAUUCUAAACUCUCUCUCUCUCUCUCUCUCUCUCUCUCUCUCUCUCACACACACACAUGGGGAUCCUGAUGGCAACGUGUUUGCUGGCUCUUUUCUAUGGUUUCUCCUGCCUCUGUAAGUUACUUCUCAGAAGGAGAGACCAGGCAUGCUAUCUGCUGGCCUACGAGUGCCACAUGCCACCAGACGACCUGAAGCUCAGCACUGAUUCAUGCGUGAAAAUCGUCUUGCGGAACAGGAAUCUAGGACUGGAAGAAUUCAGGUUUCUCUUGAAAACUAUUACCCAUUCGGGCAUUGGCGAGGAAACUUACUGCGCAAGAAACAUCAUCCAAGGCCGAGAAGAAACUGCAACCCUAGAAGAUGAACUUGCGGAGAUGGAUGGCAUCAUCUUUGACGUGCUGGACAAGCUUUUCGCUCGGGCUACCUCAAUUUCUCCGUCGCAAAUCGACAUUCUUGUCGUCAAUGUGUCGAUGUUCUCCCCUGCACCCUCCCUAUCUUCACGUAUAGUGAAUCGUUACAAGAUGAGGGACGACAUCAAGAGCUUCAACCUCUCGGGAAUGGGCUGCAGUGCGACCCUCAUUGCCAUUGACGUUGUACAAAACUUGUUCAAGUCUCACAAGAAUGCGAAUGCCAUCGUUGUAAGCACGGAAUCGUUGGCUCCUCAUUGGUAUUGCGGCGUAGAA
rnacentral:lncRNA from 1 species